rnacentral:rRNA from 1 species
UCGCCUGUUUAACCAAAACAUAGUUUAAAGAAAAAAAAUUUUAGAUAAAUUCUGCUCAAUGAGUAAGUUAAAUAGCUGCAGUAAAUUAACUGUACUAAGGUAGCAUAAUAAGUUGCUUUAUAAUUAAAAGCUUGAAUGAAAGAAAUAAUGUGAAAGAAGCUUUUUAAACUAAAAUAGUGAAAAUUAAUAUUUAAGUGAAAAAUCUUAAAUAGAAUCAAAAGACAAGAAGACCCUUUAGAACUUUACAAAUUGAUUUAAUAUCAUUUAGUUAAUUUGUUAAAUUGGGGAGAUUUUUAAAUAAAUAAAUCUUUAGAUAUAAAAAAAUGAUUUAAAUCAGAUUAAAUUAUCCAAAUGUGAAAUAAAACAAGUUACCUAAGGGAUAACAGCGCAAAAUUUUUGAGAAGUUCUCAUUUACAAAAUAAAUUGCGACCUCGAUGUUGGAUUAAGAACAACUUAUAAAGAAAAAUUAUAAGAGAGGUCGUCGCCUC